rnacentral:tRNA from 2 species
GGCGGCGUAGCUCAGCUGGCUAGAGUACUCGGUUCAUACCCGAUUGGUCGGUGGUUCGAAUCCACUCGCCGCUACCA